AGAGUUUGAUCAUGGCUCAGGACGAACGCUGGCGGUAUGCUUAACACAUGCAAGUCGAACGAGACAAAAGAGAAGUGCUUGCACGGAUCUUUUAGAAAGUGGCGAACGGGUGAGUAACGCGUGGGUAACCUACCCUAUGGAAAGGAAUAGCCUCGGGAAACUGGGAGUAAUGCCUUAUAAGAUAUAUUUGUCGCAUGGCAGAUGUAUUAAACGCUCCGGUGCCAUAGGAUGGACCCGCGUCCCAUUAGCUAGUUGGUGAGAUAACAGCUCACCAAGGCGACGAUGGGUAACCGGUCUGAGAGGGCGAACGGUCACACUGGAACUGAGACACGGUCCAGACUCCUACGGGAGGCAGCAGUGGGGAAUAUUGCGCAAUGGGGGAAACCCUGACGCAGCAAUACCGCGUGAGUGAAGAAGGUUUUCGGAUCGUAAAGCUCUGUUAUUGGGGAAGAAAAAAAGACGGUACCCAAGAAGAAAGUCCCGGCUAACUACGUGCCAGCAGCCGCGGUAAUACGUAGGGGACAAGCGUUGUCCGGAUUUACUGGGCGUAAAGGGCACGCAGGCGGUUUUUUAAGUCAGAUGUGAAAGGUACCGGCUCAACCGGUGACAUGCAUUUGAAACUGAAAGACUUGAGUAUUGGAGAGGCAAGUGGAAUUCCUAGUGUAGCGGUGAAAUGCGUAGAUAUUAUGAGGAACACCGGUGGCGAAAGCGGCUUGCUGGACAAAUACUGACGCUGAGUGCGAAAGCGUGGGGAGCAAACAGGAUUAGAUACCCUGUAGUCCACGCCGUAACGAUGAGUGCUAGUGUUGGGGGAGACUCAGUGCCGCAGCUAACGCAUAAGCACUCCGCCUGGGGGAGUAC
rnacentral:rRNA from 1 species